GGGGGAUUGAAGGUGUUAUUAUGAUGAUCCUCAAAUAAUAGGGGAACAGUGCUUUCAAUGGCCUACAGUCUUGUAAAAUUGGAUUUUACACUUUUAUAAUUGUGCCACAGUUGUAAAUAUGUAGAAACAGUGCAUACAAAUGAGUUACAACUAUGUAACUUGAAAUUAAUUGUCCAUAACUGCAACAGUGAAUUCCAUCCAUUAUAAUUGCAGUCAUCAUUUACAUAUUUGUAUCUAACGCACACAAACACACACACACUUGUGUGUAUACAGCAUAGACAAUAUAAAAUUGUCAAUGUAAGCUAUGUCCCCAUUUCUAAUUUUUUGAGGGUGCAUAAAUAACUAACUACAAUGAUUCCUUUAUUCCAACAGAAAUGAAGAUCCAUCCUCCUCCAGCCAGGGGAGGAUUUUUUUUGCCAGCUGAACUAUUUAAGAACUCAAUUGAACAGUCCUUUGAGCAGGGAAGUUCCAUGUAUGAAUCAUCUUUUAGUUUGUGUAACAAGAGGCAAGAAACACUGUGCACAGGCUGGCAGAAAUGGUCGUAUUUUAAGAGAGAAAGGAAAGACCUGCAGGUCCAACUUAUGGUGGCAAUAUUUUUCCAGAGGAGAUCUGCCAUUGUCUUCUUGUGCGAUUAUUAUUUGGUCACUCAAUGGGUUUCCAUGGCUGAGCAGUGAUUUGAUCCAUAGUCUCUUGGAGUCUGGCACUGGCUUACUUGUUAUCUAUUAUUUUGUCCAAUUCCCGUUUCAAGCUUUCAUUAAAUCUUGUGGCAAUGAAUUCUGUUAGUCAUGUGCUAUAUGAGAAGUGUCCAUUCAGUGUCCAUCCAGUUAUCCCUACAGUGUCCAUAAAGUGUCCAUACAGUUAUCAUUUACUUUUAUCCAUGCUAAUGCCCAAUGAUGAGAGUUGGAGGCAAUCCAGAGAAAACGGAUAUAGAGACUGCUGUUAUAGAAUGGUAGACAAUCUCUAAGGAGAUUGUCUCUUUGCUGAGUUAUCAAUCCAUCUUAUGCGCUGCUGCCUAAGGACAACCACUUUCUCCAUCUUCUUGAGAAGUUUUUCUGACAACUUUAUUGGGGUUUAAUGACUUAAACGAUGUGCCUUUUCUUAUAAAAAUAUAUCAUAAUAAUUUAUUGUCAUGUUAAGGAUUUAUACUUAACCGUCCAUGUACAGGGUGGACCAAAAGUCACAAAGGGGUUUCAAUAUUUCAUUUUUUUAAAAAAUUGUCAAUAUCAUAGCAUCAUAUACAGUACAGUAUAUAUAGGAAAUUUAAUUACAUUACAUUACAUUGCAUGUAAAAAAAAUUCAAAAGACAUUUUCAAAAAGUUAUUAAAACAUGACUUUUGGCCCACCAUGUAUAUCAGCCUUACAGUAUUUUAUGAUUUUUUUAAUGCAUGUUUUAUAUAGUUCUAGGGUGGAUGAGAAACCAGAAGGUGAGAGACAAAAGGAUAGAAACGGAUAGAUGUGAGCAAAUGCAGUCACACACAUUUAUGUUUGAGAAUAAUUGUAAAAGGUUAUAUUAAAGCCUUAAAAUAAGUAGAUGUACAGG
rnacentral:lncRNA from 11 species